rnacentral:rRNA from 1 species
UACGUAGGGUGCGAGCGUUUGUCCGGAAUUAUUGGGCGUAAAGGGCUCGUAGGCGGUUUGUCGCGUCGGGAGUGAAAAUCCAGGGCUUAACUCUGGACUGGCUUCCGAUACGGGGCAGACUAGAGGUAUGCAGGGGGAGAACGGAAUUCCUGGUGUAGCGGUGAAAUGCGCAGAUAUCAGGAGGAACACCGGUGGCGAAGGCGGUUCUCUGGGCAUUACCUGACGCUGAGGAGCGAAAGUGUGGGGAGCGAACAGG